rnacentral:lncRNA from 1 species
UUUGGAAAUUAAUCUCCUAUUUGAAGGGUAAUUAUAACUUUACAGGAACUUUAUUCCCAUUUAUUACCUAAUUCAGGCCCUUAUUACAAUCACAAAGGAGGAAGCGGGGAUUUAUGACUUCAUGCAGUUUAAACCACCUGCCUGCCUAAGUGGCAAAGCUAGCUGCUCACAGGACAGCUCUGAAUCUGACUAAGCUUAUUCCAUCAAACUUCACUCCAGAAUUUUCAAAUCACCGAACCCCAAAGUUAUGGGAAUUUGUUGCCAAGGGAGAAAGACAGUGGAAUUUCUGCUUUCCUGAUCUGCAGAAACUAUAAAACUGACCCAAUAGAUAUGGAUAUCGCCUCAUCAGCAAAGCAGCACUCUCGCAUAUUCUUUCCUGAAGGAUUUAUAUAGUUUCAAUAUGCUCCUCAUUGAUUCCAGAUUAGACUGUAUUGCCUGCCCUCAUGAGAUGUGUUUCUCCUCCAAGAAUUCCUGAUAGUCCUCUGGUGUGUAUGUGUGUGCACUCAUGCAUUUGGCUUUCAGCUACAGCCACCAUAUGGCGACUACCACACUUACCCUUCUCCUGCAAGAGGCACACAGCCUACCCUGAGUUUUCCGGUGGUUCUGAACAGGGGCCCAAAGAUGCCUGUGACUCAGGCUCUCCAUCACCAUUACAAUAGAAAGAAUGGACAUACAAAGAAUCACAUUUGCCUUCCACUUCUGCAAUUUGCUGACCCUAGCAGACUACACGAACUAGAUGAUUGGAACUCCUCAAGGGUAACCUCUGUAAGACUGCAGACUUAAAGGUUGUCAGCAACUUGGCUUAUAUCUGCAGUGGCUUUGUUUCUCUCCAGUGCAUAAACCAAAGGUAAAAUUGGACUCACGAGCUAACCUUUACCACCAGGCAUUCUUUUACUUGAAGAUGAUAAUAGACUUUCCUUGUGGUGGAAGUUGUGCGCCAUGAGUGCCCUCUCUUGUGUCACCGUACGAGUGUGUAAAGUAAGAAGUGCAGGCAGGGAGUAGCAGGACUUGGCUCUUAGGACAACAGAAGACAGCUGCAUUGCAGGUCAUUAGCCUCAGAAUGUUCUUGGAUUACAUAUAAUAAAGUUAAUCUCUUACUGACAUUUAACCUGCCUCUUUGUGGCCAAAAUAAUAAAACCCACUCUACAAAGGGUUAGAGAAAGCAAUUGUUAAAACUAUAAAGAAACGUCUUCAGUAAAUGCAGUAUCUAACUUCCUGUAAAUCUCUUUCUGGAAAAGAUUCAAGGAAUACUAUGGAGAACAUACUAAAACAACAACA